rnacentral:sRNA from 17 species
GGUUCAUAGUGGGAUUUUUUGCUGUUUGGCCCGCGAAUUGCUCCCGAAGGAGAACGAUGCCAGGGAAGCAAGUGAGAC